rnacentral:rRNA from 1 species
UACGAAGGGGGCUAGCGUUGCUCGGAAUUACUGGGCGUAAAGGGCUCGUAGGCGGCCAACUAAGUCAGACGUGAAAUCCCUCGGCUUAACCGGGGAACUGCGUCUGAUACUGGAUGGCUUGAGUUCGGGAGAGGGAUGCGGAAUUCCAGGUGUAGCGGUGAAAUGCGUAGAUAUCUGGAGGAACACCGGUGGCGAAGGCGGCAUCCUGGACCGACACUGACGCUGAUGCGCGAAAGCCAGGGGAGCGAACGGG